GAGUUCAUGCCCUCACGGGUAGAUCUCCCACCCUUGAAUACUAUACCUUAGUUGCUUUGGCAGGCCGUGGAAACACCACGGGCUCAGGCUUGUGCGUGCCUGCCAGAGGAAACAAACUCUGUUUUUAGUGAUGUCUGAGUAAACUUAAUUAAUAAAUUAAAACUUUUAACAACGGAUCUCUUGGUUCU
rnacentral:misc_RNA from 1 species